GAUGAACGCUGGCGGCGUGCCUAAUACAUGCAAGUCGAGCGAACGGACGAGAAGCUUGCUUUUCUGAUGUUAGCGGCGGACGGGUGAGUAACACGUGGAUAACCUACCUAUAAGACUGGGAUAACUUCGGGAAACCGGAGCUAAUACCGGAUAAUAUUUUGAACCGCAUGGUUCAAAAGUGAAAGACGGUCUUGCUGUCACUUAUAGAUGGAUCCGCGCUGCAUUAGCUAGUUGGUAAGGUAACGGCUUACCAAGGCAACGAUGCAUAGCCGACCUGAGAGGGUGAUCGGCCACACUGGAACUGAGACACGGUCCAGACUCCUACGGGAGGCAGCAGUAGGGAAUCUUCCGCAAUGGGCGAAAGCCUGACGGAGCAACGCCGCGUGAGUGAUGAAGGUCUUCGGAUCGUAAAACUCUGUUAUUAGGGAAGAACAUAUGUGUAAGUAACUGUGCACAUCUUGACGGUACCUAAUCAGAAAGCCACGGCUAACUACGUG
rnacentral:rRNA from 1 species